rfam:Pyrenophora tritici-repentis Pt-1C-BFP supercont1.7 genomic scaffold, whole genome shotgun sequence.
GCGAGCGUAGUCUAGUGGUUAUGAUGUCUGCUUUACAUUGUCCAAUGUUCAGCUUCGCAGAAGGUCGGGAGUUCGAUCCUCCCCGCUCGUA